AUACGGAGGGUGCGAGCGUUGUUCGGAAUUAUUGGGCGUAAAGAGCAUGUAGGCGGUCUGUUAAGUCUGGUGUGAAAGCCCGGGGCUCAACCCCGGAAGUGCAUUGGAUACUGGCAGACUUGAGUAUGUGAGAGGAAAGCGGAAUUCCGAGUGUAGGAGUGAAAUCCGUAGAUAUUCGGAGGAACACCAGUGGCGAAGGCGGCUUUCUGGACCAAUACUGACGCUGAGAUGCGAAAGCGUGGGGAGCAAACAGAAUUAGAAACCCCAGUAGUCC
rnacentral:rRNA from 1 species